CCUACGGGAGGCAGCAGUGAGGAAUAUUCGUCAAUGGACGCAAGUCUGAACGAGCCAAGUAGCGUGCAGGAUGACGGCCCUCCGGGUUGUAAACUGCUUUUAGUUGGGAAUAAAAGGGGGCGCGUGAGCCCCGUAUUGUAUGUACCAUCAGAAAAAGGACCGGCUAAUUACGUGCCAGCAGCCGCGGUAAUAAGGAGGGUCCGGGCGUUAUCCGGAUUUAUUGGGUUGAAAGGGAGCGUAGGUGGCUUGGAAAGUUAGUAGCGUAACUCCUAGGGUCAACCUUGGAUCUACUACUAAAAAUGUUGGACUUGAGUGCAGGAGGGGCAACCGGAAUUCCUAGGGUAGCGGUGGAAGGCGUAGAUAUUAGGAGGAACACCAGUGGCGAAGGCGGGUUGCUAGACUGUAACUGACACUGAGGCACGAAAGCGUGGGGAGCAAACAGGAUUAGAUACCCGAGUAGUC
rnacentral:rRNA from 1 species